CAGCACAGGUAGCAAUACCGGGUGGCGACCGGCGCACGGGUGAGUAACGCGUAUGCAACUUACCUAUCAGAGGGGGAUAACCCGGCGAAAGUCGGACUAAUACCGCAUGAAGCAGGGGCCCCGCAUGGGGAUAUUUGCUAAAGAUUCAUCGCUGAUAGAUAGGCAUGCGUUCCAUUAGGCAGUUGGCGGGGUAACGGCCCACCAAACCGACGAUGGAUAGGGGUUCUGAGAGGAAGGUCCCCCACAUUGGUACUGAGACACGGACCAAACUCCUACGGGAGGCAGCAGUGAGGAAUAUUGGUCAAUGGGCGUAAGCCUGAACCAGCCAAGUCGCGUGAGGGAUGAAGGUUCUAUGGAUCGUAAACCUCUUUUAUAAGGGAAUAAAGUGCGGGACGUGUCCCGUUUUGUAUGUACCUUAUGAAUAAGGAUCGGCUAACUCCGUGCCAGCAGCCGCGGUAAUACGGAGGAUCCGAGCGUUAUCCGGAUUUAUUGGGUUUAAAGGGUGCGUAGGCGGCCUUUUAAGUCAGCGGUGAAAGUCUGUGGCUCAACCAUAGAAUUGCCGUUGAAACUGGGGGGCUUGAGUAUGUUUGAGGCAGGCGGAAUGCGUGGUGUAGCGGUGAAAUGCUUAGAUAUCACGCAGAACCCCGAUUGCGAAGGCAGCCUGCCAAGCCAUGACUGACGCUGAUGCACGAAAGCGUGGGGAUCAAACAGGAUUAGAUACCCUGGUAGUCCACGCAGUAAACGAUGAUCACUAGCUGUUUGCGAUACAGUGUAAGCGGCACAGCGAAAGCGUU
rnacentral:rRNA from 1 species